UGGCGGCGUGCUUACACAUGCAAGCNNNNAACGAGAAAGGAUCUCUUCGGAGAUUUGAGUAAAGUGGCGCACGGGUGAGUAACGCGUAGAUAAUCUACCCUUAUAUCCGGGAUAACAUUUCGAAAGAGGUGCUAAUACCGGAUACGCUCUUUAAUACGCGAGUAAUAGAGAGGAAAGACGGCCUCUGUUUCAAGCAGUCGUAUAGGGAUGAGUCUGCGUACCAUUAGCUGGUUGGUGGGGUAAUGGCCUACCAAGGCAACGAUGGUUAGCGGGUCUGAGAGGAUGAUCCGCCACACUGGAACUGGAACACGGACCAGACUCCUACGGGAGGCAGCAGUGAGGAAUUUUGCGCAAUGGGGGAAACCCUGACGCAGCGACGCCGCGUGGGUGAUGAAGGCUUUCGAGUCGUAAAGCCCUGUCAGAUGGGAAGAAAUGUAUUGGGAUUNACAGUCCUGGUAUUUGACGGUACCAUCAGAGGAAGCACCGGCUAACUCCGUGCCAGCAGCCGCGGUAAUACGGAGGGGUGCAAGCGUUGUUCGGAAUUACUGGGCGU
rnacentral:rRNA from 1 species